rnacentral:ncRNA from 1 species
GACUCUCUUAAGAUGCCUUGUCAUCUAAUUAGUGGCACGCAUGAAUGGAUUAAUGAGAUUCCCAUUGUCCCUAGCUACUAUCUAGAGAAACCACAUCCAAGGGAACGGGCUUGG